rnacentral:rRNA from 1 species
AGUGAACGCUGGCGGUAGGCCUAACACAUGCAAGUCGAACGGCAGCACAGAGGAGCUUGCUCCUUGGGCGGCGAGUGGCGGACGGGUGAGGAAUACAUCGGAAUCUACUCUGUCGUGGGGGAUAACGUAGAGAAACUUACGCUAAUACCGCAUACGACCUACGGGUGAAAGCAGGGGAUCUUCGGACCUUGCGCGAUUGAAUGAGCCGAUGUCGGAUUAGCUAGUUGGCGAGGUAAAGGGCCACCAAGGCGACGAUCCGGAGCUGGUCUGAGAGGAUGAUCAGCAACACUGGAACUGAGACACGGUCCAGACUCCUACGGGAGGCAGCAGUGGGGAAUAUUGGACAAUGGGCGCAAGCCUGAUCCAGCCAUACCGCGUGGGUGAAGAAGGCCUUCGGGUUGUAAAGCCCUUUUGUUGGGAAAGAAAUCCAUCUGGUUAAUACCCGGGUGGGAUGACGGUACCCAAAGAAUAAGCACCGGCUAACUUCGUGCCAGCCGCCGCUGUAA